rnacentral:rRNA from 1 species
CAGUCGCCACGGGAACACGUAGGGUGCAAGCGUUAAUCGGAAUUACUGGGCGUAAAGCGUGCGCAGGCGGUCCGAUAAGACAGAUGUGAAAUCCCCGGGCUCAACCUGGGAACUGCAUUUGUGACUGGCAAGCUAGAGUAUGGCAGAGGGGGGUGGAAUUCCGCGUGUAGCAGUGAAAUGCGUAGAUAUGCGGAGGAACACCGAUGGCGAAGGCAGCCCCCUGGGCCAAUACUGACGCUCAUGCACGAAAGCGUGGGGAGCAAACAGGAUUAGAUACCCCUGUAGUCCCUGUCUCUUAUAC